AAAUUGUAGUUGUUUUUUUUUUAAUAACAUUUCUUGUUGAGAGACUAACCGUUUGCUACUUAGUUUGCUUCCAUAAAGCGUGCCGUUUCUGAAAAAAUCAAUUAUGCGCAACAAGCAACAAGAAAUGUAUGUUUAGACAACCUGAAACUUCCUCAUCAGGAUUAUGGUAAACAUGUUUAGAAAUGUUUGUUCUAUAAUGUAAAGUAUUGGUAGAAAUAAGCCCAAAAAUAAAGGAUAAAAACGUCCAAGCUGCUGCAUUAAGAAAAACAUAUAAUCAACAGGCCUCAACAGGUCGUUAUUUUGUUCAGCAUACUGGGCAUAAAUGCAGCCUGACCCACAUUAGAGGCCUUUCAAACAAAUGCAAGAACACAAACAAGCUCGGAUCCUUAAUCAAUGCACCAACAAUAAACAAAUGUCAAACAACAAACGCAUAAGUUAACGCAUGAAUUUUCCGAGUGACGCCAGCAGCAGUCCACCUAGACGCAGCAGCAGCAGCAACAUGGGCGCUUUGGAGACACGUUAUUGAUUGGCAUUCCCUGGAGGAGGAAUCGGCCGCAGCAAUCCGGAGGCCCUGCGACAAAAACGCACGAGCUCUGGCGACUUCAGCUGAACCAACUUCAAAAUUGGAAAUUGAACCGUUGCGCUCUUUCCAAGUUCACAUCUCGGUGUGUCCGUCUGCAGCCUGGAGAGAAAGAGUGCGGCCAGCAAGGCAGCAGCUCACAGUGCGGUGCCACAGCGCCCACUAUUUCAAAAGCCUGGAAUAUUAUUUCACAAGACACGAAAGAAUUCUAUAGAGGAAAAAAUAAAAAAGUAAAAGAAAGUUAGUAUUCCUUUCGACAACUGUCUGGACGGAAAUUUGCGCUUCUGAUUCUGCCGACGACUGAAAGGAAACAAAAAAGAUCGAGCUGAGAUUUGGACGCCGUUGUUUAUCUCAGUUCUUUUUUUUUUUAAGGAGAGAGCAAGUAAAGCACCAGCUGCGUUUUCAUCACACGAGAAACUUUGAGGCGCUGGAAGGAGAGCAGAAAAGAGCGCCGCGUGCGCGCAGGGACGCGAGGCGGAGAGCCGGAGCAGCCGGAGCAGCCGGAGCGGGACACUUUUACAGAAAAGUUUUCUGUGGACAAAGAGUCGCUUCACACUCUCUUCUGGCUAAAUGACAAGGACACGGUGGACAUCUACAAAGCCGGGAGUUUGAAGCCGGCAGCACAACGCGGAAAGGGGAGAACACCUGAUCCACGUGCAUCCAUCUGCUGCAUCCAGCCGGGAGGACAGCAAGGGGGGAAGGGGGUGUGAUGGACCUAAAUAUGUCCACCAUCUUUUUCCCUGAGCAAAACCAGUGGGAGACAGAUGGAAAAGCCUGGUUGAUCAUUACUUCAGUGCCAAAAUGGUGGGAGAAGAAAAAAACAGCACAAGGACCACACAGAGAGCGGAGGGACGCACAUCUGUGUAUAUGAAUGGACUGGUCGGCGCAAAGACUGAUUUGUGCAGUGGACCUUGGAAGUCCAUGGGCAUCUGAAGGUGGCCUUUCAUAUUGCUAAAUAGUAAGCAUGCAAAAAUAUAACUUUAUUGUUCAGCAAAGACGUCUGGAUUUGUUUGCAACAGUUUUUUCUAAUUGAAAUCAAAUAAACAAAAUAUUUGAUCAUCA